AAAAAGGGCUUCUGUCAUGUGUGGCACACAUGGGGCAGCUUGAGUGUUCCACAUGCGGAGUCAACAUCAAGAGAUUUCAGAAGCAUAAUUUUUUGGUAUCUGGGCAGCUAGUGAACAUUGGCCCUGGCACCCAC
rfam:Myotis brandtii contig161382, whole genome shotgun sequence.